rnacentral:rRNA from 1 species
AUGGACCCAGCGUUGCAUAAGGCGGCGGUGCAAGGGAGCGUGGCAAGCCUGAGGAAGCUGGUGGCCGAGCGGCCCGGCAUCCUUGGUUCCAAGACGCCCCAUGGGAACACCGCGCUGCACAUCGCGGCCGAAAUCGGCCAUGCCGGCUUCGCGGAGGAGGUCCUCGGUGCGGACUACAAGCUGCUCGCCACAAGGAACGCCGAUGGCGACACGCCGCUGCACCUGGCGGCCAGGGUAGGUAAGGUGGACGUGGUGGAGCUGCUACUCAGCCGCGCCAGAGCAUGGUCUGCAGAGCAGCCGCAGGACUCCCAUGGGAGCGAGCAGGGGCCGGUGCUCAUGGCCAACAAGGCCGGCGACACCCCGCUGCAUGAGGCGGUGAAGCACGGCAGGAGCGCCGUGGCGCUCUUGCUGUUGGCCGCCCAGCCCAGCCUAGGCCACGCGCUCAACGUGAAGCAGCAGUCGCCGCUGCACAUCGCCGCCGGGGAGGGCCUCACCGACGUUGUGGCCAAGAUCAUCGGCCAGCCCUGGGUCCACGAGAGGUUUGUCCCAUCUGACUCCAUGAGCAGCACCGCCUUGCACCAGGCCGUCCUCGGCGGCCACAUCCGUGUGGUGGAGAUGUUGCUUGACGCGACGCCGCAUGAGCAGAUCGGGCUGACGGACUCGUCCGAGAACAACGCGCUGCACUACGCGGCGCAGAAGAACAACGGCCGCAUGGUGAAGCUGCUGCUGAACCGGAAGAUGGACCUGGCCUACAAGCGCAACCGCGACCUGCAGUCGCCGCUGCACGUCGCCGCCUCCUACGGCUCGACGGAGGCCAUGGUGGAGCUGCUGAAGCAGUGCCCUGACGUGGCGGAGAUGGUGGACAGCAACGGCAGGACAGCUUUCCACGUCGCCGUCACCAGCGGCAAGGUGGACGCCCUCAAGUGCCUGCUCAAGCAAGUCCGCCCCGAGGAGAUCGUCAAUCGCGUCGACCACCAAGGCAACACGCCGCUGCACCUAGCCGCUGCGCUGUCGAGCAUAAAGUCGGCGCUGCUCCUGCUCAAGGACCGCCGGGUCAGCCCCUGCGUCCUCAACCGGGACGGCCAGUCCGCGCGCAGUCUCAUCGAGAAGCGCGCCACCACUGAGGAGUUGGACACCUACGAGAUGUACCUGUGGAAGAAGCUCAAGAAGUCCGAGGGUUCCAGGUGCAAGAACGUGCCGCUGCCGCCUCCUCCCGCGUCUUACCGGUCGCGGCGUAGUCAGGGCCAGGCGGCUGGCCACGACGAGUUCAACGUCACAAUGCUGGUGGCCACACUGAUCGCCACUGUCAGCUUUGCCGCCACCUUCACCAUGCCGGGGGGUUACAACCAGACCGAGGGCACGGCCAUCCACGGCCACAAGGCGGCAUUCAAGAUCUUCGUCGUCACCAACACUGUCGCCAUGUGCAGCUCCAUCGUCGUCGUCUUCUGUCCAACCAUGUGGGCAUGGCGAGAGCGGGAGUGGGAGCGGAGCCCAGUCGAGCACAAGGUCUACCAGCUCAGCUGGAGCCGCAGGCUCAUGUGGAGCCGCAGGCUCACAAAUGUCGCCUUCCUCGCCAUGCUCGCCUCCUUCAUGACGGCCGUCUACAUCACCGUUGCGCCCACCGCGAGGUGGCCUGCGUACCUUGUGAUCGCCAUCGUAGCCAGUACUCCCAUUGUGGUGUUCCUCACCCUUUGGGAAGAGAUGUAG